AGGAUUGAAAGGCAAACUCUUCGAAAGAUGAGGACGCAAAGCCGCGGGCCUAACAUCUUCACGGAUUACGGCGGCCGGGUUGCCAUU
rnacentral:ncRNA from 1 species